UUAGUUUAUUUAACUAUUAUUCAGAUUUAACAUGGUUAAAUGGAGUUUAUUAAAAGGCUACUGACGAGCACUGGCCAGAGGUCAAAAGACCCCCGGCGGUCCGGUGAAAGACGGGCCCGCCAAAGCAACAUGGUGGUUAUACAAAGGGUUGGAGAUCGGGCCUGGAAGACCCUAACUCAUUAAUGAUCCUUCCGCAGGUUCACCUACGGAAA
rnacentral:misc_RNA from 1 species